UUAAAGGAAAUAGAAAGAUCGCAUAUUAUAUCAAAAGUAUAGGAAUAUGGCAAAGUCACUAGUGAGCUACACAACCUUCCUUGCUCUCCUCUUGUGCUUCCUCCUCAUUUCUUCCAAUGCAAGCGGCCGAGGGCAAACUUUGUCGAAGGAAGAGCAAGACAUUUUUUGGCUAUUGCUUUAUUAGUGAACACUGCGACGAAAGAAUGCAAAGAGAAAGGGAGGGCAAAGAGGGGUAUGUGCAUUAAGAAGAGCAUCAUUAGACGUUAUUGCUACUGCUACCACAAGUGCAAAUAAGCAUCAAAUGUUCUUUAGAGUUCUCGUUUUUUAAUUAUGAUAAAUAAAAAGUGGUAUGUUGUCUUGUGUGUGAAAGAAUAAAAACACUACCAAUUCACAAGAAUUUGUAAUUAUGUUUGUAUUAUCAUAUUAUACGGUCAUUUUCUUAGGAUACAAACAGUAAUUUUCGGUGUCAAGUGAAGUAAUAUAAAUAAUAUCAAGAAAUUACUUGUGGUUA